rnacentral:lncRNA from 1 species
GUCGAAAAUAGCUGGACACGGCUGAGCGACCAACACUUUCACUUUCACUUUACUUUUACCAUAGGUAGUGGCAACCCACUCCAGUAUUCUUGCCUGGAAAAUCCAUGGACAGAGGAGCCUGGUGGACUACAGUCCACGAGGUUGCAAAGAGUCAGACACGACUAAACGACUGAACACACAUUAUAAAAUAGAGCUGGUUCCACAAACAGAAGAAAAAAAUGGAGACCAUUAGGAAGACGUGGCUGGAGCAUGGUGAAGCAGAGGAAUCCUUAUAAAAGACUGGAGGACUUCUUGGAUUGAUUCUAAGAAAAUAGGUGGAGAAGAAAGAAUCCAGAAAUAUUGAGUCUGUAUUAUUUCACGAGGAUAAACUGUUCAACAUAUGAAAUAGCUAAAGAUGACAUGAGGCAUCUUUAUUUAUGAGGCAACUGAUCCUACACCUGACUUCCAUCAAGAAUGUCUAUGCAUCUAGGGGCUAAGCAUCCACU